CCUACGGGGAGCAGCAGUGAGGGAUAUUGGUCAAUGGACGAGAGUCUGAACCAGCCAAGUAGCGUGAAGGAAGACUGCCCUAUGGGUUGUAAACUUCUUUUAUAUGGGAAUAAAAUGUUGCACGUGUGGGAUUUUGUAUGUACCAUAUGAGUAAGAGUCGGCUAGCUCCGUGCCAGCAGCCGCGGUAAUACGGAGGAUCCGAGCGUUAUCCGGAUUUAUUGGGUGUAAAGGGAGCGUAGGUGGAUAGUUAAGUCAGUUGUGAAAGUUUGCGGCUCAACCGUGAAAUUGCAGUUGAAACUGGCAGUCUUGAGUACAGUAGAGGUGGGCGGAAUUCGUGGUGUAGCGGUGAAAUGCUUAGAUAUCACGAAGAACUCCGGUUGCGAAGGCAGCUCACUGGACUGCAACUGACACUGAGGCUCGAAAGUGUGGGUAUCAAACAGGAUUAGAUACCCGAGUAGUC
rnacentral:rRNA from 1 species